GACGAACGCUGGCGGCGUGCCUAACACAUGCAAGUCAGGGAGAAAAGGGUAGCAAUAUCCUGAGUAAACCGGCGAACGGGUGAGUAACACGUAGGCAACUUACCUUGUGAACGGGAAUAACCCCGCGAAAGCGGAGCUAAUACCCGAUGAAGUUCCGUCGUAGCAUUGCGAUGGAAUAAAAGGCCCGAAAGGGCGUCACAAGAUGGGCCUGCGUCCCAUUAGAUAGUUGGCGGGGUAACGGCCCACCAAGCGACGAUGGGUAGCUGGUCUGAGAGGACGACCAGCCACACUGGAACUGCGACACGGUCCAGACUUC
rnacentral:rRNA from 1 species